rnacentral:rRNA from 1 species
GAUCCUGGCUCAGAUUGAACGCNGGCGGCAGGCUUAACACAUGCAAGUCGAGCGGGGGUGAUGGUGCUUGCACUAUCACCUAGCGGCGGACGGGUGAGUAAUGCUUAGGAAUCUGCCUAUUAGUGGGGGACAACAUUUCGAAAGGAAUGCUAAUACCGCAUACGUCCUACGGGAGAAAGCAGGGGAUCUUCGGACCUUGCGCUAAUAGAUGAGCCUAAGUCGGAUUAGCUAGUUGGUGGGGUAAAGGCCUACCAAGGCGACGAUCUGUAGCGGGUCUGAGAGGAUGAUCCGCCACACUGGGACUGAGACACGGCCCAGACUCCUACGGGAGGCAGCAGUGGGGAAUAUUGGACAAUGGGCGCAAGCCUGAUCCAGCCAUGCCGCGUGUGUGAAGAAGGCCUUAUGGUUGUAAAGCACUUUAAGCGAGGAGGAGGCUACUUUAGAUAAUACCUAGAGAUAGUGGACGUUACUCGCAGAAUAAGCACCGGCUAACUCUGUGCCAGCAGCCGCGGUAAUACAGAGGGUGCAAGCGUUAAUCGGAUUUACUGGGCGUAAAGCGCGCGUAGGCGGCUAAUUAAGUCAAAUUUUAAAUCCCCGAGCUUAACUUGGGAAUUGCAUUCGAUACUGGUUAGCUAGAGUGUGGGAGAGGAUGGUAGAAUUCCAGGUGUAGCGGUGAAAUGCGUAGAGAUCUGGAGGAAUACCGAUGGCGAAGGCAGCCAUCNGGCCUAAC